ensembl:lncRNA
AUAAGAUUGUUAUUGUGUAAUACUAUGUAGGCUAUACCAGGGGUUGAAAGAUAAGAUUGUUAUUGUGUAAUACUAUGUAGGCUAUACCAGGGGUUGAAAGAUAAGAUUGUUUAUUGUGUAAUACUAUGUAGGCUAUACCAGGGGUUGAAAGAUAAGAUUGUUAUUGUGUAAUACUAGGUAGGCUAUACCAGGGGUUGAAAGAUAAGAUUGUUAUUGUGUAAUACUAUGUAGGCUAUACCAGGGGUUGAAAGAUAAGAUUGUUAUUGUGUAAUACUAGGUAGGCUAUACCAGGGGUUGAAAGAUAAGAUUGUUAUUGUGUAAUACUAUGUAGGCUAUACCAGGGGUUGAAAGAUAAGAUUGUUAUUGUGUAAUACUAGGUAGGCUAUACCAGGGGUUGAAAGAUAAGAUUGUUAUUGUGUAAUACUAUGUAGGCUAUACCAGGGGUUGAAAGAUAAGAUUGUUAUUGUGUAAUACUAGGUAGGCUAUACCAGGGGUUGAAAGAUAAGAUUGUUAUUGUGUAAUACUAUGUAGGCUAUACCAGGGGUUGAAAGAUAAGAUUGUUAUUGUGUAAUACUA